UUGCUUACUUUGGCAGCACAUAUACUAUAAUUGGAAUGAUACAGAGAAGAUUAGCAUGACCCCUGCGCAACGACGACAUGGGAAUUUGCGAAGCGUUUCAUGUUCUU
ensembl:snRNA U6 U6 spliceosomal RNA